rnacentral:lncRNA from 1 species
CAUAAAACAUAGGAAGGAUUUAGUUUGCCGGCCGUGUUGGUAGGGAUGGUUUUUCCCUUCUUGAUGCUCCCAUUUUCCACCUUGUUCCUGUUCACCUCCUGUUUCCCUUCACCCUCUUUGACAAAGAUGUCCAUGAGGGUGGGGGAUCUGUUGUUCCUGUUCUUUCUUUUUCUCUUAGACUUAGAUGUAAGUCCAAGCCCCUCCUUUC